rnacentral:rRNA from 1 species
CCUACGGGGGGCUGCAGUCGAGAAUCUUCGGCAAUGGGCGCAAGCCUGACCGAGCGACGCCGCGUGCGGGAUGAAGGCCUUCGGGUUGUAAACCGCUGUCGAAGGGGAGGAAAUUGUAGUGGGUUCACCCAUUAUAUUGACCGAUCCUUGGAGGAAGGGCCGGCUAAUCUCGUGCCAGCAGCCGCGGUAAUACGAGAGGCCCAAACGUUAUUCGGAUUUACUGGGCUUAAAGAGUUUGUAGGCGGUUCGGUAAGUGAGAUGUGAAAGCCCUCGGCUCAACCGAGGAAUUGCGUUUCAAACUGCCGGGCUCGAGGGAGAUAGAGGUGAGCGGAACUGAUGGUGGAGCGGUGAAAUGCGUUGAUAUCAUCAGGAACACCAGAGGCGAAGGCGGCUCACUGGGUCUCUUCUGACGCUGAGAAGCGAAAGCUAGGGGAGCAAACGGGCUUAGAUACCCUGGUAGUC